CACGUAGGCGGCUUUUUAAGUCAGAGGUGAAAUCCCGGGGCUCAACCCCGGAACUGCCUUUGAAACUGGGAAGCUAGAAUCUUGGAGAGGCGAGUGGAAUUCCGAGUGUAGAGGUGAAAUUCGUAGAUAUUUGGAAGAACAUCAGUGGCGAAGGCGACUCGCUGGACAAGUAUUGACGCUGAGGUGCGAAAGCGUGGGGAGCAAACA
rnacentral:rRNA from 1 species